AUGCAUUUAUAUGAAAAUAUGUUUUAAAAUGCCAUGCAUGCAAUCAAUGAGAUAUUUGAAUUGAUAAUUGAUGCAUAUAUAUAUGAAUUGACGCUGUGGACGCACAGGUGAGUUUUACAUUAUUCAUACGAUUUAUUUUAUGUGAAUUGCAUUGAAAGCUCAUAACCUGCACCCUAGGUGUUAGUGCUUAUAUUAUUCACCACACCGCACGCUCGCCUUGGAUCCAAGUAGGUGAAUGUCGUACAGACCAUGUGAGGGUUCCGACAUGCUAGU
rnacentral:lncRNA from 1 species